CCAAGCUAGCAUAUUUCUUUGAUUAUUUUUAUUUCUAUAUUUUUUUGCAGUAUGGGGGAUGAGCUGUAUCCCCAACCCUUUUUGUUUUUAAUUUUGAGACAGGGUCUCACUCAGUUGCCCAAAGCUGGCCUUGAAUUUGUGAUCCUCCUGUCUCAGACUCUGGAGUUACUGGACUGGAGUGUUCUGACAUGCCUGGCUAAGCCAGCAUGUUCCUGAUAUACCCUGUCUUUACUGAAUAACUAAGUGAAUAAAUCAUAGGAUUCUUACAUAAGAAUACCUAGAAUAAGAACUAUGAAUAUAAUUCAAACAUCUCUUUAUUAAGUAUAACCUGUGGGUUAGGGUAUAGCUCAAUGGUGGUGCACUUACCUAGCAUGUGCAAGGCCCAUCCCCAGUAAUGAUGAUGAUGAAGAUGAUGAUGAUGAUGAUAACAAUAAUGGGGUUUAGGUCUUUUUUCAGUUUGGGCUGAUGCUGAUGAUGAUUACUAACACUUCCUUUAAACUUUAAGGAAUGAACUUUAAACUUUAACUGAAUGAAGUUUUUUUUUAAUUCUUAUUGACCUUUUCAUUCUGAUAUUUAUAACAUUAAUACACUGAUCUCUACCAUAAUAAAUAUUUGUAGUGAGUAUUGCAUGAUUUAAGAGGGUUACUAUUUUUUGCAGAGAUCAACAGAUUUCUACCAGUUCAGGAUAUUUUAAAUAUCUUUUAAAUAUAAUGUACAUUCAGAGUUAGGGAAUGGAGGCUAGGGAUGUAGCUCAGUGGUAAAGCACUUGCUUAGCAUGUGUACGGCCCUGGAUUGCAUCACUAGCAUUGCAGAAGAAAAAAGGGAAUUUAUUUCUCUUCUUAAUUCUGCAUUACAUUGUGUCUGUUCACUCUAUGAAUCCUAAAGCCUCAAGCUUUUUUGUUGUUGUUGUUCCCCUUUACAUUAUCAACUGUCAUAACAAGGCUUUUUCAUGGCCAGUUAGGGAUUUAAAUGGCACUAAAAGCAUUUUUUAGAAAGUAUUAUAUUUGAAGAUAUUUGUUGUGCAAAUAUUAACUUAGCUCCUAUAUUUACAAAACUCUUUAUACUAAUACUUAAAACUUGAUUUUUGUGCCAUAACCAUGUCUUUCCCAGAUUAAUUUGUAACUGAAAUAAGCAUUUUCUAAAAUAAGUAAUAAAAAGUGGGUAAAUUUAAAUCUCUAGUUCUGGAGUUGGUCAACUGUUUUUAUUGAUAGACUCCCUGAGAAGAUUUUAAAAAUAAUAGUUUUGUUUUUAUUAGGACAAGGAGCCUUUUCCUGUAGAAGCUUAAGAAAUUGCUGCUAUGACUGUUCUGUGGUUUUGCAGGCUGUUACCAACUUGAAAUUUGGAUCUUCCAAUGGUUCUUCUAGCAUCACUAUUAUAGUGUGUUAAUCUGAAGAAAUAAUAUUAAAAAGUUCACCUUCUCUCUGAUCCUUAAAUUCCCCCUUUCUACAUGGUACUACUGAGCUCUGUGGGGCUUAUGAGUAAGAGGUCUCUUUAGCAAAGUAGGAGUUCAUGGUACCUGAGAAAGUUUUUCUGUAUAUAAUUAUAAAUAUGCAUAUAGCUAUAUCUUUGCCUUGAGGACACUAUGGGCAAUACCUGAAAUGUGUCUGAUUUCCCAUCUUGAUCAUUGAAAUACAGUUCCCACUGAACAUUGUUUUUGCUAUGUGUGCGCUGAUUUCCAGAGACACAAGUAACCAAAAAAUGCCAGCUAACUACUUUGAAGGUUCUCAGAAACUCAGCUCCACCAAACAAAAACUGGUAGUAUUUCUCAUAUUUCAGACAAGAAAUGAAAAAAAAAACUGUUGUAAUGGACAGCUUGGGAAAGGCAGACUUCACUUUGUGGAGGUAUGUUAAACAGUGAGCCCUAAGCCAUGUUUGGUGGGCCUGGUCAGAUCUCAGUGGUCAGAGUGGCUUGGCUUAGUGACAAUGCUCAGGACAAAUGUCCAAACACUACAUCACACCUAGAUGAGACAGACCAGAGUGAAAAGAGAUGUGGUGACACAGGCUCUACCUGUAGGAGUAACAGGUCUAGAUGGUUUCUCCAAGGAGAAGAUGGUAGCUAGACAUGGUGGCACAUGCCUAUAAUCCCAGCAACUUGGCAGGCUGAGGCAGGCGAAUCACAAAUUUGAGGCUAGCCUCAGCAACUUAGUGAGGCCCUAAGUAAUUUAGCAAGACUCUAAGUAAUUUAAAGAGACUCUGCCUCAAAUUUUAAAAAAAUAAAAAGUUCUGGGGACAUGGCUCAGUUGUUAAGUACCCCUGGGUUCAAUUCCCAGUCCAAAAACAAAACCUAAGGGGAAGAUGGCAAGGGGAGGAAGAAGGACCUCCUUGGGGUUGGUUUGGGGGUAACUACUGGGCAGUGAAAGAAGGUGUUUCAUGCACAGGCAGAGAGGAAGUGAACCCUAUACUUCCCACACAUGCCAAACUGCUGCAAGGGAACCAAAGAUAGUACAAUGCAGCAUCAAGUACAGAUAAGGAGACCAAAAUGGCCUAAAAAUAGAGUGACAUCGCUGGGUGCACAUGUAGGUGUGAAUAUUACUUUAUCAUUACCAUGGUCCUCCCAUUCAAAGGCAUCCUCUCUCUGGGGAUCCUAAUUAUCCUGUAUGAUAGAUCAUUCCACCCUGAGUCAAGGCAGGGCCUCUCAGAUCAUAGACAAGGGGCAGAAUUCUCCAUCCCUCCUCUUCAGCUGUGGGAUUUAGGCAAGUUAUUUCAUCUCUUUGACUUCAUAGGCAAAUUUUCUCAUCUGAAAAACAAAGUUGCCAGGAAUAAACGAGAAUGAACUUAAACAAUUUCUAUAGUGCCUGACCCAUAGCAAUGCUUAAUAAACAGGAGCCCUGGUAUAGAUAAAGUAAAAUAAUCAUCAGUCUGCCCCAAAUUUUCUUAUGUCCACACAUUUUUACACUUUAUUUUAAAACUGUUGUAAACAUUCAAUGGAAUAAUGUGUCACUUCUAAAAGAAAGAAAAUUCUGACACAUGCUACAACAUGAAUGGACCUCGAGGAUAUUGCUGAGAUAAACUAGUCUUACAAAAGGACACAUAGUGUAUGAUUUCAUAUCUAUGAGUCACCUAGAGGGGUCAAAUCCACAGACACAAAGUAAAAUGGAAGCCACGGGGAGCUGAGAGGAAGGGAAAGUGGGGAGUUAGUGUCUACUGGGUACAGAGUUCCAAUUUGGGAAAAUGGAAAAGUUCCGGAGAUGUAGGGUGCUGAUAGUUACUCUGUACAUAUACUUACUGCCACUGAACUGCACAUUUAACAAGAGUUAAGUGGUAAGUUCUAUAUGUAGGUUUCUUAUUUUUAUUUUAUAUGUAAUUUUACCACAGUUAAAAUAUCAAGAUACAUAUAUUCAAAGGCAAAAAUAAUUUCAAAUUGAACUAAAAUACACACUUAUGAUGGGCCAACAUCCAAGUAUACAGCUUAAUGAAUCCGAACACACAGAGCAAAAGGCAAAUCAUUUCUUCAUCUCAAAAGCCUCCUUCUCUUUUUAUUUCAUAUCAUGAAUUCCCAUGAAUACCCCCUUUCUUAUUUUCAUUCACUCUAAAAUUCUGUAGGCAAAUUAAGCAGACUAUCGGGAGGGCAGGUGUAGCAGGGAGCAGGUGGAUAGGGGCCGCUAACAUCAGAAGCUGCUGCCUCCAGGUGGGCUUGAGGAAGGGGUCCAGCUGGGUGCUGCUCCUAUAAAGAAAACAGCUCAAAAGCCCUAAAUUUGCCCCAGAAUACUGCUAUUGGCCCUCAUUGGAAUUUUCUUUGAGUCAUUUUAUGAUUUUUUAUUAUCAUUUUUAGUGGGAAAAAUUAAAAGGUCUACAGUUAAAAAAAAAAAAAGUCUACCCAAAGGCUGUUUCUAAGUAAUUUUCAAAAGAAAUUCCUUUGGCCUCCCAAAGCAGUGCCAGAGGGUAUUCCUGACAGUUUGGGGCUAGGCAAGGCCCUGGGAUAGGAAGGUGUUUCCGCCCCUGGGCCACCCUGGCUCCUACUUACCUGGAAGUCAUCCACAUCCAUAGAUUUGUCUGUUUGCUAAGAAAAGAAACAGGCUUGUUUCCUUAAAGAACACAUAUGCCCACUUCCUUAGCUUCUCUGCCAACAAAUAUUGGGGUUGUCCUCAAGGUAGAUCCUAAGGCACUUAUCUGUCACUCUCAGCUAUUGUCACCAUUUAAUAUGACCAAAAAUCAUAGCAGAGGGUUGCCAUCAGGAGACAGAGUGGUAAUGAAUAUGUUCAUUGGUAUGAAUAUGUUCAAUGAAUAUGUUCAUUGCAUUUUCAGAAUUUCAGGCCAAUCCAAUUCUAAAAAUAAUUACUAAACAUUAUAAAAUCAAAAAAGCACUGUGUUGUAAAUGUUAAAAGGGUCCCAAACUUUGGAACCAUGAAGGCCUGGACCUAGGUCUGUCCCACACAAACUGAGUGACUACAGGCCUGUUGCCUUCUAUGAGUUUGUUUCCCUCCUUAAAAUGGAGAUGAUAGCCCAGGAUACUUUGUGAUAUCAGAAUCAAAUUGAUAUUAUUCCGUAGUCAGGCCAAGUAAGAGAGGGUCCCAGAGUCCCCUGAGUCCCUAAGGGAAGAUGCUGGUAGGUUGGAGAUAUCUCUGAUUGACAGGUUUACAGUUUGUCCCCACUCACACACACACACCCCUCCAGUGGGCCAGGCUCAUCAGGGAAACCAGAGUGGUGAAAGAAAAUAAGCUACGAUCACCCGUAGUCACUGCAGCAUUAAUCACAGUAGCCAUGAGAGGGAAGCAACCAAGAGUUCAUCCGUGGAUAAAUGGAUAAAGGACAUGUGUAUCUAUAUUAUGAAUUUUACUCAGUCUUAAAGAGGAAGGCAAUUCUGACACAUGCUACAACAUAGAUGAACCUUGAGGACAUAAUGCUAAGUGAAGUAAACCAGACACAAAAGGACAGAUUCUAUGUGAUUUCACUCACACAAAGUAGUCAAACUUAAAAAAUUAGUCUGGUUGCCAACAGCAGGGAGUGCUAGGAGGAGGGAGCAAUGGGAGUUAACAUUUAUUAUACACAGUUUCCACAUGGGAAGAUGAAAAAGUUCUGGACAUGGAUGG
rnacentral:lncRNA from 1 species